CUACGUGCCAGCAGCCGCGGUAAUACGUAGGGGGCAAGCGUUAUCCGGAUUCAUUGGGCGUAAAGCGCUCGUAGGCGGUCUGUUAGGUCGGGAGUUAAAUCCGGGGGCUCAACCCCCGUUCGCUCCCGAUACCGGCAGACUUGAGUUUGGUAGGGGAAGGUGGAAUUCCUAGUGUAGCGGUGGAAUGCGCAGAUAUUAGGAAGAACACCAGUGGCGAAGGCGGCCUUCUGGGCCAUAACUGACGCUGAGGAGCGAAAGCUAGGGGAGCAAACAGGAUUAGAUACCCUGGUAGUCCACGCCGUAAACGAUGAGUGCUAGGUGUUAGACCCUUUCCGGGGUUUAGUGCCGUAGCUAACGCAUUAAGCACUCCGCCUGGGGAGUACGACCGCAAGGUUGAAACUCAAAGGAAUUGACGGGGGCCCGCACAAGCGGUGGAGCAUGUGGUUUAAUUCGAAGCAACGCGAAGAACCUUACCAGGUCUUGACAUCCC
rnacentral:rRNA from 1 species